rnacentral:rRNA from 1 species
UUAAGUUAUUAAGGGCGCACGGUGGAUGCCUUGGCACUAGGAGGCGAUGAAGGACGUGACUACCUACGAUAUGCUGCGGUUAGGCGGAAGUAGCCUAGGACCCGCAGGUUUCCGAAUGGGGCAACCCACCCAGAGUAAUGUCUGGGUAUCAUCAACUGAAUACAUAGGUUGAUCGAAGCUAACCCGGGGAACUGAAACAUCUAAGUACCCGGUGGAAAAGAAAAUAAAUAUGAUUCCCUGAGUAGUGGCGAGCGAAAGGGGAAGAGCCUAAACCGACAUCCUUAUGGCUGUCGGGGUUGUGGGACAAGCGACAUAGAGAAGUUAUGUUAGACGAAUGAUCUGGGAAGUUCAACCAUAGGAGGUGAGAGUCCUGUAGUCGAAAACAUGAUCAUCUUAGCUUGAAUCCCGAGUACCGCGAAGUAAGUGGAAUUUUGUGGGAAUCUGCCAGAACCAUCUGGUAAGGCUAAAUACUCCCUAGUGACCGAUAGUGAAGAAGUACCGUGAGGGAAAGGUGAAAAGCAUUCCUAACAGGAAGGUGAAAUAGUACCUGAAACCGUGCGCUUACAAACGGUUGGAGCUCUGUUUACAGAGUGACAGCGUGCCUUUUGGAUAAUGAGCCUACGAGUUACUCGUACAUUGCAAGGUUAAGCUCUUAAGGAGCGAAGCCGUAGCGAAAGCAAGUCUUAAUAGGGCGUUGAGUAAUGUGCGGUAGACGCGAAACCAGGUGAUCUACCCUUGUCCAGGAUGAAGGGACGGUAACACGUCCUGGAGGUCCGAACCAGUAUCAGUUGAAAAUGAUUUGGAUGAGGUGAGGGUAGGGGUGAAAGGCCAAUCAAACCUGGAGAUAGCUCGUACUCCUCGAAAUAGCUUUAGGGCUAGCCUCGGUUAAUAGUGUUGCGGAGGUAGAGCACUGAUUGGGCUAGGGCCCUCACAAGGGUACCAACCCCAGACAAACUCCGAAUUCCGCCAACAUGUUUACCGGGAGUCAGGCAGUGGGGGAUAAGCUUCAUUGCCAAGAGGGGAACAACCCAGACCAUCAGCUAAGGUCCCCAAAUGAUAGUUAACAGAGAAAGGAUGUUGAGUUGCUCAGACAACUAGGAUGUUGGCUUAGAAGCAGCCAUUCAUUUAAAGAGUGCGUAAUAGCUCACUAGUCAAGCGACUCAGCGUCGACAAUAAGCGGGACUUAAACUAUCUACCGAAGCUAUGGACUUCGUAAGAAGUGGUAGAGGAGCAUUCUAUGGGCGGUGAAGGUGUACCGCGAGGUAUGUUGGAGCGCAUAGAAAAGCAAAUGUAGGCAUGAGUAACGAUAAGACGGAUGAAAAAUCCGUCCGCCGAAAAUCUAAGGUUUCCUGAGCAACGUUAAUCGACUCAGGGUUAGUCGGUCCCUAAGCCGAGGCUGAAAAGCGUAGGUGAUGGGAAACGGGUUAAUAUUCCCGUACCUGGUAUUAUACAUUUGAGUAUAAGGAGGGACGCAGAAGUGAAGGUCAGCCACCUGUUGGAUUAGGUGGUCUAAGCAUGUAGGGGGUGAUGGUAGGCAAAUCCGCCGUCACAACUCCGAGGUGCGAACGGGUGAGCAAUAGCUCUGAACUGAUCGUAAUCAUACUGCCUAGAAAAUCUUCGUAUACAAGUGUAAUAUCAGUCCGUACCGUAAACCGACACAGGUAGAUGGGAUGAGUAUUCUCAGGCGCUCGAGUGAGUCGUGGUUAAGGAACUCGGCAAAUUAACCCCGUAACUUCGGGAGAAGGGGUACCUCCGGUAUGUGAAAUCCUUGCGGAUUUAGCUGAAAGAGGUCGCAGUGAAAAGGCCCAGGCGACUGUUUAACAAAAACACAUGUCUCUGCGAAGUCAAUCAAGACGAAGUAUAGGGACUGACACCUGCCCGGUGCUGGAAGGUUAAGAGGAGAGGUUAGCUUCGGCGAAGCUUUGAAUCGAAGCCCCAGUAAACGGCGGCCGUAACUAUAACGGUCCUAAGGUAGCGAAAUUCCUUGUCGGGUAAGUUCCGACCUGCACGAAAGGUGCAACGAUCUGGGCACUGUCUCAACCACGAGCUCGGUGAAAUUGUGGUACCGGUGAAGACGCCGGUUACCCGCAUACGGACGAAAAGACCCCGUGAACCUUUACUGCACCCUAACAUUGGGUUCGAGUAAAUCAUGUGUAGGAUAGGUGGGAGACUUUGAAGCUGGGGCGCUAGCCUCGGUGGAGUCAACGGUGAAAUACCACCCUUGGUUUAUUUGGAUUCUAACCGCGUGCCUUGAAUCAGGUACCGGAACAUUGUUAGGCGGGUAGUUUGACUGGGGCGGUCGCCUCCCAAAAUGUAACGGAGGCUCUCAAUGGUUCCCUCAGCAUGGUCGGUAAUCAUGCGUAGAGUGCAAACGCAGAAGGGAGCUUGACUGCGAGACAUACAGGUCGAGCAGGUGCGAAAGCAGGAGUUAGUGAUCCGGCGGUAGCGAAUGGAAGUGCCGUCGCUCAAAGGAUAAAAGGUACUCCGGGGAUAACAGGCUGAUCUUGCCCAAGAGUUCAUAUCGACGGCAAGGUUUGGCACCUCGAUGUCGGCUCAUCGCAUCCUGGGGCUGGAGAAGGUCCCAAGGGUUUGGCUGUUCGCCAAUUAAAGCGGUACGUGAGCUGGGUUCAGAACGUCGUGAGACAGUUCGGUCUCUAUCCUAUGCGGGCGCAGGAUGUUUGAGGAGAGUCGUCUUUAGUACGAGAGGACCGAGACGAACGAACCUCUAGUGUACCAAUUGUCGUGCCAACGGCAUGGUUGGGUAGCUACGUUCGGAAAUGAUAAGCACUGAAAGCAUCUAAGUGCGAAGCAUACUUCAAGAUUAAACAUCCCUCAUAUGACUAAAGACUCCUUGGAGAUGACAAGGUUGAUAGGCCACAGAUGUACGCACAGUAAUGUGUUCAGUCGAGUGGUACUAAUAAGUCGUGAGGCUUAACCU